CUUUAGCAAUGUAAUAACGUUAAUAACAGGUUUUUAUCAGCUAUGAACCUUGUAUAUUGUGUACAUCAUUUGUUAUUUUAUCCUUGAGGUUGUUAUGGUUAGAAAGAUUGACAGUAUUCCAUUAGGAGCGUCAAUACAAGCUGUUAUUGGAAGAAAGCCAAAAUUCGAUGUUUCCAUUAUAUCGACUACGUCUAUCAUUCAUUGGAUAAAAGAUGAGAUCACGUUUGUGAUUUUAUUUAAAUUACACAAGAUGGAUAUUCCACAGAAAUCUCUUUUACAAUUUACAAUGAGUGUUGAAAUGGCUAUUUCUUGAUAUAACAAAAUACGCG
rnacentral:lncRNA from 1 species